rnacentral:misc_RNA from 1 species
GAACGCAUCUUGCGCUCCUUGGUAUUCCUAGGAGCAUGCCUGUUCGAGCGUCAUUUCAACCCUCAAGCUCUGCUUGGUAUUGAGUCCAUGUCAGCAAUGGCAGGCUCUAAAAUCAGUGGCGGCGCCGCUGGGUCCUGAACGUAGUAAUAUCUCUCGUUACAGGUUCCCGGUGUGCUUCUGCCAAAACCCAAAUUUUUCUAUGGUUGAUCUCAAAUCAGGUAGGACUACCCGCUGAACUUAAG